rnacentral:rRNA from 1 species
UAGAUUAAGUUAUUAAGGGCGCACGGUGGAUGCCUUGGCACUAGAAGCCGAUGAAGGACGUUACUAACGACGAUAUGCUUUGGGGAGCUGUAAGUAAGCUUUGAUCCAGAGAUUUCCGAAUGGGGAAACCCAGCAUGAGUUAUGUCAUGUUAUCGAUAUGUGAAUACAUAGCAUAUCAGAAGGCACACCCGGAGAACUGAAACAUCUUAGUACCCGGAGGAAGAGAAAGAAAAUUCGAUUCCCUUAGUAGCGGCGAGCGAAACGGGAAGAGCCCAAACCAACAAGCUUGCUUGUUGGGGUUGUAGGACACUCUAUACGGAGUUACAAAGGACGACAUUAGACGAAUCAUCUGGAAAGAUGAAUCAAAGAAGGUAAUAAUCCUGUAGUCGAAAAUGUUGUCUCUCUUGAGUGGAUCCUGAGUACGACGGAGCACGUGAAAUUCCGUCGGAAUCUGGGAGGACCAUCUCCUAAGGCUAAAUACUCUCUAGUGACCGAUAGUGAACCAGUACCGUGAGGGAAAGGUGAAAAGCACCCCGGAAGGGGAGUGAAAUAGAACCUGAAACCGUGUGCUUACAAGUAGUCAGAGCCCGUUAAUGGGUGAUGGCGUGCCUUUUGUAGAAUGAACCGGCGAGUUACGAUUUGAUGCAAGGUUAAGCAGUAAAUGUGGAGCCGUAGCGAAAGCGAGUCUGAAUAGGGCGUUUAGUAUUUGGUCGUAGACCCGAAACCAGGUGAUCUACCCUUGGUCAGGUUGAAGUUCAGGUAACACUGAAUGGAGGACCGAACCGACUUACGUUGAAAAGUGAGCGGAUGAACUGAGGGUAGCGGAGAAAUUCCAAUCGAACCUGGAGAUAGCUGGUUCUCUCCGAAAUAGCUUUAGGGCUAGCCUCAAGUGAUGAUUAUUGGAGGUAGAGCACUGUUUGGACGAGGGGCCCCUCUCGGGUUACCGAAUUCAGACAAACUCCGAAUGCCAAUUAAUUUAACUUGGGAGUCAGAACAUGGGUGAUAAGGUCCGUGUUCGAAAGGGAAACAGCCCAGACCACCAGCUAAGGUCCCAAAAUAUAUGUUAAGUGGAAAAGGAUGUGGCGUUGCCCAGACAACUAGGAUGUUGGCUUAGAAGCAGCCAUCAUUUAAAGAGUGCGUAAUAGCUCACUAGUCGAGUGACACUGCGCCGAAAAUGUACCGGGGCUAAACAUAUUACCGAAGCUGUGGAUUGUCCUUUGGACAAUGGUAGGAGAGCGUUCUAAGGGCGUUGAAGCAUGAUCGUAAGGACAUGUGGAGCGCUUAGAAGUGAGAAUGUCGGUGUGAGUAGCGAAAGACGGGUGAGAAUCCCGUCCACCGAUUGACUAAGGUUUCCAGAGGAAGGCUCGUCCGCUCUGGGUUAGUCGGGUCCUAAGCUGAGGCCGACAGGCGUAGGCGAUGGAUAACAGGUUGAUAUUCCUGUACCACCUAUAAUCGUUUUAAUCGAUGGGGGACGCAGUAGGAUAGGCGAAGCGUGCGAUUGGAUUGCACGUCUAAGCAGUAAGGCUGAGUAUUAGGCAAAUCCGGUACUCGUUAAGGCUGAGCUGUGAUGGGGAGAAGACAUUGAGUCUUCGAGUCGUUGAUUUCACACUGCCGAGAAAAGCCUCUAGAUAGAAAAUAGGUGCCCGUACCGCAAACCGACACAGGUAGUCAAGAUGAGAAUUCUAAGGUGAGCGAGCGAACUCUCGUUAAGGAACUCGGCAAAAUGACCCCGUAACUUCGGGAGAAGGGGUGCUCUUUAGGGUUAACGCCCAGAAGAGCCGCAGUGAAUAGGCCCAAGCGACUGUUUAUCAAAAACACAGGUCUCUGCUAAACCGUAAGGUGAUGUAUAGGGGCUGACGCCUGCCCGGUGCUGGAAGGUUAAGAGGAGUGGUUAGCUUCUGCGAAGCUACGAAUCGAAGCCCCAGUAAACGGCGGCCGUAACUAUAACGGUCCUAAGGUAGCGAAAUUCCUUGUCGGGUAAGUUCCGACCCGCACGAAAGGCGUAACGAUUUGGGCACUGUCUCAACGAGAGACUCGGUGAAAUCAUAGUACCUGUGAAGAUGCAGGUUACCCGCGACAGGACGGAAAGACCCCGUGGAGCUUUACUGUAGCCUGAUAUUGAAAUUCGGCACAGCUUGUACAGGAUAGGUAGGAGCCUUUGAAACGUGAGCGCUAGCUUACGUGGAGGCGCUGGUGGGAUACUACCCUAGCUGUGUUGGCUUUCUAACCCGCACCACUUAUCGUGGUGGGAGACAGUGUCAGGCGGGCAGUUUGACUGGGGCGGUCGCCUCCUAAAAGGUAACGGAGGCGCUCAAAGGUUCCCUCAGAAUGGUUGGAAAUCAUUCAUAGAGUGUAAAGGCAUAAGGGAGCUUGACUGCGAGACCUACAAGUCGAGCAGGGUCGAAAGACGGACUUAGUGAUCCGGUGGUUCCGCAUGGAAGGGCCAUCGCUCAACGGAUAAAAGCUACCCCGGGGAUAACAGGCUUAUCUCCCCCAAGAGUUCACAUCGACGGGGAGGUUUGGCACCUCGAUGUCGGCUCAUCGCAUCCUGGGGCUGUAGUCGGUCCCAAGGGUUGGGCUGUUCGCCCAUUAAAGCGGUACGCGAGCUGGGUUCAGAACGUCGUGAGACAGUUCGGUCCCUAUCCGUCGUGGGCGUAGGAAAUUUGAGAGGAGCUGUCCUUAGUACGAGAGGACCGGGAUGGACAUACCUCUGGUGUACCAGUUGUCGUGCCAACGGCAUAGCUGGGUAGCUAUGUGUGGACGGGAUAAGUGCUGAAAGCAUCUAAGCAUGAAGCCCCCCUCAAGAUGAGAUUUCCCAACUUCGGUUAUAAGAUCCCUCAAAGAUGAUGAGGUUAAUAGGUUCGAGGUGGAAGCAUGGUGACAUGUGGAGCUGACGAAUACUAAUCGAUCGAAGACUUAAUCAA